AUGCGUUAUCUGCAAUAUAUUCUAAAGAUCGUGCAACUGGAAAAGAUGCACAGACAGCAGAUGAUGUUGUUGAAGAAAUACAAGCUGAAGAACAGAAUGAUAUAAGAG